rnacentral:rRNA from 1 species
AUGAACGCUGGCGGCGUGCCUAAUCCCUGCAAGUCGAACGCUUCACUUCGGUGAAGAGUGGCGAACGGGUGAGUAAUACAUAAGUAACCUGGCAUCUACAGGGGGAUAACUGAUGGAAACGUCAGCUAAGACCGCAUAGGUGUAGAGAUCGCAUGAACUCUAUAUGAAAAGUGCUACGGGACUGGUAGAUGAUGGACUUAUGGCGCAUUAGCUUGUUGGUAGGGUAACGGCCUACCAAGGCGACGAUGCGUAGCCGACCUGAGAGGGUGACCGGCCACACUGGGACUGAGACACGGCCCAGACUCCUACGGGAGGCAGCAGUAGGGAAUUUUCGGCAAUGGGGGAAACCCUGACCGAGCAACGCCGCGUGAAGGAAGAAGUAAUUCGUUAUGUAAACUUCUGUCAUAGAGGAAGAACGGUGGAUAUAGGGAAUGAUAUCCAAGUGACGGUACUCUAUAAGAAAGCCACGGCUAACUACGUG